rnacentral:SRP_RNA from 1 species
CAGUUGCGAGAGUCUGUAACCCGAGUGGGGGCCUAAAGUUGAUGGGACGUUGGGCUCGCUUUACUGGGUUGGACAAGGGGUAGCUAGAAUCUGGCCAGCCCGUUCCAAGCAAAUAGUCGUAUCAGGAGACUCGAACGAAGGUUUGGGCCUCUUGGCUCCUAAAGUGGAGGGCUCCGCGUUAGGCUGGCUUCACAGAGCAGCGAAAACUUUCCGCUACUGGCAGUGGAAGGAUAACUGGCCAGUGCUGCUCUUGUCCGACAAGACUCAGUAGGUUGGCUCUAACCGAACCAUCACCAAUAGUCGUAUCAGGAGACUCGAACGAAG